rnacentral:rRNA from 1 species
UGGGGAAUAUUGCGCAAUGGGCGAAAGCCUGACGCAGCGACGCCUCGUGAGGGAUGAAGGUCUUCGGAUCGUAAACCUCUGUCAAGAGGGAAGAAACCCUUGGAUUCGAAUAGGGUCCUUGGCUGACGGUACCUCAAAAGGAAGCACCGGCUAACUCCGUGCCAGCAGCCGCGGUAAUACGGAGGGUGCAAGCGUUAAUCGGAAUCACUGGGGGGAAAGCGCGCGUAGGCGGUUUGGUAAGUCAGAUGUGAAAGCCCACGGCUUAACCGUGGAACUGCAUUUGAUACUGCCAGACUUGAGUGUCGGAGAGGGUGGCGGAAUUCCGGGUGUAGGGGUGAAAUCCGUAGAUAUCCGGAGGAACACCAGUGGCGAAGGCAGCCACCUGGACGACAUCUGACGCUGAGGAGCGAAAGCGUGGGGAGCAAACA